UGACCUCAAAUCAGGUAAGACUACCCGCUGAACUUAAGCAUAUCAGUAAGCGGAGGAAAAGAAACUAACAAGGAUUCCCCUAGUAACUGCGAGUGAAGCGGGAAAAGCUCAAAUUUAAAAUCUGGCAGUCAUUGACUGUCCGAGUUGUAAUUUAGAGAAGCAAUGCCGGCGCUGGACUGUGUACAAGUCUCCUGGAAUGGAGCGUCAUAGAGGGUGAGAAUCCCGUAUAUGACACAGUUGCCAGGGCACAGUGGGAUGCUCUCAAAGAGUCGAGUUGUUUGGGAAUGCAGCUCAAAAUGGGUGGUAAAUUCCAUCUAAAGCUAAAUACAGGCGAGAGACCGAUAGCGAACAAGUACCGUGAGGGAAAGAUGAAAAGAACUUUGGAAAGAGAGUUAAACAGUACGUGAAAUUGUUGAAAGGGAAACGCUUGAAGUCAGUCGUGUUGCUGGAAAUCACACUUGCUCUUUUGCUUGUGGCUCUUUCCUUUUGCAAUGGGUCAGCAUCAGUUUUGAUUGUUGGAUAAAAGUCAGAGGAAUGUGGCAUCCUUGGAUGUGUUAUAGCCUUUGAUUGUAUGCAAUGAUGGAGACUGAGGAACUCGGCACUUGUGCCUAGGAUG
rnacentral:rRNA from 1 species